rnacentral:rRNA from 1 species
AUGCAAGUCGAGCGCGGUGCGGGGGCUUCGGUCCACGCAUCUAGCGGCGAACGGGUGAGUAACACGUGAGCAACCUACCUUCGAGUCUGGGAUAGCCCUGAGAAAUCAGGAUUAAUACCGGAUGUGGUCACGCUUGGACAUCCAGGCGUGAAGAAAGGCGAAAGCCGCUCGAUGACGGGCUCGCGGCCUAUUAGCUUGUUGGUGGGGUAACGGCCUACCAAGGCGGUGAUGGGUAGCUGGUCUGAGAGGACGAUCAGCCACACUGGGACUGAGACACGGCCCAGACUCCUACGGGAGGCAGCAGUUAGGAAUCUUCCGCAAUGGGCGAAAGCCUGACGGAGCAACGCCGCGUGGGUGAUGAAGACCUUCGGGUUGUAAAGCCCUGUCGGAGGGGAAGAACGAAUGACGGUACCCUCCAAGAAAGCCCCGGCUAACUACGUGCCAGCAGCCGCGGUAAUACGUAGGGGGCGAGCGUUAUCCGGAUUUACUGGGCGUAAAGCGCGUUAAGGCGGUCGGCAAAGUUGGGGGUGAAAUUUCAGGGCUCAACCCUGAAACUGCCUCUGAUACUGGUCGACUUGAGUGCGAGAGAGGAAGGUGGAAUUCCCGGUGUAGUAGUGAAAUGCGUAGAUA